CCUGUGUGGACCCAGGAGAGUCAACAGCGCAGCGACGAGAACAGCAGACCGGUCGCCCUGGAACCUCCCAGAACAUUCCAUUUCAGGUGACUGGUUUUAUUUAUCCCACCUGCUCUUGGAGAAUAACAGAGUAAAAACAAGAGUGGAAAUGAGAGACUUGGCUGUUUCUUCUUGAUUCAAGCAGUACAAAAGCCUGUGGAGAAAGAGUAUUUCAGUCAUUUUUUCAAUACACACUGGGUGCCCCUCUGAGAAAGAUCCACUUCACUAAUCCAGUUGGGGACAGAGUAAAUAUGAAUCAAGAAGACAAACUGCAGGAAGAAUAUGACAUUUUCUACAUUUGGAAUUUUCCACAGGGACUUGCAUUUAAAGUGAAAAUAGGACUAUUUAGUCCCUAUUUUAGAAAUGGUCAACAGUUACAUUUAUCUGAAGAUAUGAUAGAGUGGGCAAGAGGAAGUACACAGGUGGGUUUGGCCUAACUGGUACUCAUUUAAAUUACACUGUCAAGUGAGUGCAUCCAACCUUCCUUGAAAGUGGUGAAAUGAAGUUGACUGUCAUGUGAGAGACUACUAAACUACAUUUCUUAUUUUCAUUUUCUUUCAAAUGAGUUUUUACCAAUUCACUGAGGAUUUCUAACAUGAAUGUAAUGUAUUUUUAUCAGAUCAGAACUUGUUUCUUAUUUUUCACAUUAAUAUAAACUAUUUUAGAAAACAUUUUGAAGUUAUUUCCAAUAAAGUUAGCAAUAUUAUAUUGGUCCUAUUCUUACUAAUAUAGAGUGAUUUCCACUCAUAUGAUGAACCUCUUCAAAAGAUGUUUAAAGAUCGUUGUUCAUUUUAAGGAUAGAGUAAAUUCAA
rnacentral:sRNA from 1 species